UACGUAGGGGGCAAGCGUUGUCCGGAAUCAUUGGGCGUAAAGCGCACGUAGGCGGCCCGGUAAGUCCGUUGUGAAAGUCAGAGGCUCAACCUCUGGAGGCCAAUGGAUACUGCCGGGCUAGAGUCCGGAAGAGGAGAGUGGAAUUCCUGGUGUAGCGGUGAAAUGCGCAGAUAUCAGGAAGAACACCCGUGGCGAAGGCGGCUCUCUGGGACGGUACUGACGCUGAGACGCGAAAGCGUGGGGAGCGAACAGG
rnacentral:rRNA from 1 species